rnacentral:rRNA from 1 species
UACAGAGGUCCCAAGCGUUGUUCGGAUUCACUGGGCGUAAAGGGUGCGUAGGUGGUGAGGUAAGUCGGAUGUGAAAUCUCCGAGCUCAACUCGGGAAUUGCAUUGGAAACUACCUUGCUUGAGGGUUGGAGGGGGGACUGGAAUGCUUGGUGUAGCAGUGAAAUGCGUAGAUAUCAAGCGGAACACCAGUGGCGAAGGCGAGUCCCUGGACAACACCUGACACUGAGGCACGAAAGCUAGGGGAGCAAACAGG